rfam:Chelonia mydas contig233944, whole genome shotgun sequence.
ACUAUGGAUUUUUUAAAAUCCAUAAACAGAGAAUUGAGGAUACUUU